rnacentral:lncRNA from 1 species
AAAAGUAAAAUUGUAUGAUCAUGAUUGACACUCUCCUCUUCAGAGCAUGAGGAAUCAAAAGGAGUGGGCUGGUUGCCCACCCACGUUUUUUCUAGGAGGAACAGUCUUACAGAGGAGGGCUGCAGAAAGCUGACUUGAAUUAAACAAGACUGCUUACUUGUCUGAGGUGCUCCUCUUGGUGCUUGCUUUUUGGAGGUCUUGGUAUAGGUUCCCAUGUUAAGUGGCUGUGUUGUACAGCACAGAGUGGAGUGGUGUCAAAUAGAAAAUAAGAAAUGCACUGAAGAGGAGGAAAGAAAAUGAAAGGAAAAAGCUGAAGAGUGGGGAAAAGAUAAAGUAAUAUGAAUAUUAGGAUUCCACUAAUAAAGCGACAAGAAGCAGUGUUACUUUCCACUAGAGGGCAGAAAUGUAACAGCAAAGAACCUGUGUGAAAUGUC